UGGCUGGCAAUAUGGAGAAAUGUUUGCAUAUCUAAAUAGAUACAAAUGCAAAUUAAAAAGUCAGCUGUGUCUAGUGUCACCAGGAUUGUGAUGUACCUUCCACAAGGACAUUUGUUGUCACUCUUUCUUUGAUCAACCCCAACAUUUCAGUAACAGAGACAACCAAGUUGUCACUGAACUAGACUUUACGUGGUGCAGAAAUUAAAAUUUAUCCACUGUAUCAUUUCCCUCAGAUCAUUCACUGCCUGCUGAACUUUGAAACCCCUCUCCGUGGUGCUUCUGCUGCAUGAAUCUUGCCAGAUCUCAGAAGCUAAGCAGAAUCGGCCCUGGUUAGUUCUUGGAUGGAAGACCACCAAGGAAGUACUGGGUCAUGAUGCAGAAGGAGACAAUGACAUACCACCUCUGAAUCCGUCUUGCCUUGAAAAUCCUAUGUGAUGAUCACUUUCCCUGUGAGAUAACUUUUUGCCUUAGAAGAGCGUAUCUCCAGCUCCCAUGCCAUGAAUUGAGAACUUGACUGGGGAGCGAACGGAUGUUUUAACAGUAAAUUGUGAUGGAAACACAGUAAACUCUUGACC